rnacentral:rRNA from 1 species
UCAGGAUGAACGCUGGCGGCGUGCUUAACACAUGCAAGUCGAACGGAGUUUUAACGGAAGUUUCGGAUGGAAGUUUAGAAACUUAGUGGCGGACGGGUGAGUAACGCGUGGGUAACCUGCCUCAUACAGGGGGAUAACAGUUAGAAAUGACUGCUAACACCGCAUAAUAUAGCGAAACCGCAUGAUUUUGCUAUCAAAUAUUUAUAGGUAUGAGAUGGGCCCGCGUCUGAUUAGCUAGUUGGUGGGGUAAAGCCUACCAAGGCGACGAUCAGUAGCCGGCUUGAGAGAGUGACCGGCCACAUUGGGACUGAGACACGGCCCAAACUCCUACGGGAGGCAGCAGUGGGGAAUAUUGGACAAUGGGGGAAACCCUGAUCCAGCGACGCCCGCGUGAGUGAAGAAGUAUUUCGGUAUGUAAAGCUCUAUCAGCAGGGAAGAUAAUGACAGUACCUGACUAAGAAGCCCCGGCUAACUACGUGCCAGCAGCUGC